rnacentral:rRNA from 1 species
UACGAAGGGGGCUAGCGUUGUUCGGAAUCACUGGGCGUAAAGGGCGCGUAGGCGGCCGUUCAAGUCGGGGGUGAAAGCCUGUGGCUCAACCACAGAAUUGCCUUCGAUACUGGACGGCUCGAGACCGGAAGAGGUCAGUGGAACUGCGAGUGUAGAGGUGAAAUUCGUAGAUAUUCGCAAGAACACCAGUGGCGAAGGCGGCUGACUGGUCCGGUUCUGACGCUGAGGCGCGAAAGCGUGGGGAGCAACAGG